rnacentral:ribozyme from 1 species
GCCUAAGUAGUGAGUGAGUGAUUAGGAUAAUUGAGAAUUCGAUAGAAAAUGCUUAUUUGGUAAUUCAUUUAAUAAGAAAAGACAAAAGGAGAAAUGAAGAAGUUUUCAAAUUCUUUUAGAUUACU